rnacentral:lncRNA from 1 species
CGGUCCGGAUUGAAUGGUUGUCAAGAGCUUGAGCACAGAAGACUCCAGUAUAGUUGCAGACAUAGCAUCCCACCCAGUUGGAUGUUAGAUUCCAAGGAUCCGAGAUGAUGGCCUUUUUCCAUGCUUGGAGAGCUAUGUAGGCACUUCUAAUUCGUGAAUUCUCAAAUUUAAAGGAAGGUGGUAUUCUCCCAAACUCCCCUCUACCACCAUACCGGUUUCUAUAAUAUAAGAGUUGUCUUUGUUUGAUAAAUGCAGCUUCUGCUUCUAGAAAUACUCCAUUGUUAGAAACAGAGAGCUUUUCGGCUGUGACAAGGGUAAUGAGAGUGAGAAUAGCGAACAACGGAAGAAUUAUAUUAAUCUUUGGCCUCAUCACUCACCUUCGAACAUCUAUAUAUGAAAUGGGAUUAUUUCUUUUUAUGCUUUUGUAUGUUUUAUUUCAGAUCUAUCGAGAGGAGAUUUUGGAGCUGAAAAAAUGUGGGAAAAGUUAAUAGUAGUAUGAAGAUAAAUACAGCUAUAUCACAGGAGUAAAAGCAGAAUGAGCUCUGUUUUUUGGUCUUUGCUUGCCAUGGUAAAUCGGCUUUAUUUUCUGGUCAGAAGAGAGUUAAAUUCAUUUUUAGUGAGCGUUUUUGGUUGUCAAUUUAAAGAAAAUGGAGUUGGUAAAAAGCAUUAAGCACAUGUGAUGUAUGUAGAUGAAGCUGUUGAUGUUGUUGUAAUUUUGAAAGGCUAGUAUUAGUCUGUCAGUGAGUGGCAGUGCUUGCCGGAGGCUGGUGAAUGCUUCUGUUGACCAAGGACAGCUUGUAUUCCGGACCAUUUUGUUCGCCGCUUCUAACUCUCCUCAUUAACUAACUGUACAUCUCGUCAAAGCUUUGAGCGGGAAGUGCUUUCGGAGUGGCCGUUUUAAAAGUCCUUUUCUCUAAUUUUAUUCAAGUUAAGAAAAUCGAAAUCAUUUCCAUUUCUUAAAGAUGUGGGAGUUAUAUUGGUUUUGCAUUAUGGUUUGAUUUUUUUAUGAAGUACCAAAUCCAGUUGAGAAUCAAUCACCUACCUGUACUUGGGUUUGGGUUUGAG